AUGAACGCUAGCGACAGGCCUAACACAUGCAAGUCGAGGGGCAGCACAAGGAGCAAUCUGAGGUGGCGACCGGCGCACGGGUGAGUAACACGUAUGCAACCUGCCUGUAAGCGGGGAAUAACCCGUUGAAAGACGGACUAAGUACCGCAUAAUACUAAAUUACUGCAUGGUAAUUUAUUUAAACAUUUAUGGCUUACAGAUGGGCAUGCGCAUGAUUAGCUAGUUGGAGAGGUAACGGCUCCCCAAGGCAACGAUCAUUAGGGGUUCUGGAGAGGAAGGUCCCCCACACUCGGUACUGAGACACGGACCAGACUCCUACGGGAGGCAGCAGUGAGGAAUAUUGGUCAAUGGACGAGAGUCUGAACCAGCCAAGUCGCGUGCAGGAAGAAUGUCCUAAUGGAUUGUAAACUGCUUUUGCAGGGGAAUUAAAGUGCAUCACGUGUGAUGUUUUGUAUGUACUCUGCGAAUAAGGAUCGGCUAACUCCGUGCCAGCAGCCGC
rnacentral:rRNA from 1 species